rnacentral:sRNA from 1 species
GGGGGGCUGACUGGUAUGACCCCUGCCGUGACCUCUCACCGUGUUUUCAGUAUCUUCAGCUCAAGAAGAAGUUAGAAGAUGAGUUCCCCGGCCGCCUGGACAUCUGCGGCGAGGGAACUCCCCAGGCCACCGGGUUCUUUGAAGUGAUGGUAGCCGGGAAGUUGAUUCACUCUAAGAAGAAAGGCGAUGGCUACGUGGACACAGAAAGCAAGUUUCUGAAGCUGGUGGCCGCCAUCAAAGCCGCCUUGGCUCAGGGCUAAUGCGCCCUGAAGGCAGAGUCCAGGGACCUUGACCCAGCCCCUCUCAGCAGACGCUUCAUGAUAGGAAGGACUGAAAAAUCUUGUGGACACCUGGUCUUUCCCUGAUGUUCUCGUGGCUGCUGUUGGGGGCAGAGAUUGACGCCCCUGGUCUUUGCCUCUGUGUGAGAGAGUCUGUGUGUAUGUGUCUUCCCCGGAAUCCACACCACCCCACCCUCCUCCUGUCCCGUGGUUUCAUCAUAUCUCUUUGCAUACCCCAUGUCUUCCCCAGUUGUCCCCUGGAGUUUGGGGGGACAUCCCGCCUCAGGCAUCCUUCUCAAGGGGAAGCCAAGAGAGGCAUCAGGAUGGGUGGGUUUCUGAUUGUGGCGACGUUUGCAACCGUUCACGAUUCAAUAAAUAUUGGAUGAAUUUAACCGAA